CUCCCUGUGCUUUCCCUGUGCAAACAAGAGUUUCACAGUCUGCUGAGCAGAUUCGAGCCAUUCUGCGUGGGAAAACAACCUUUAAAUAUCAUUAAAUCAGUCCUUUGGCAAGAAAAUUUACAGCUGGAUGAGGCUGCAAGAUGUUAAUCUUUGGAGACCUUUAUCCCUGGAAUUACUCAGUGACACCAGCAAUUAAAGGCC